CCUACGGGAGGCAGCAGUAGGGAAUAUUGCUCAAUGGGGGCAACCCUGAAGCAGCAACGCCGCGUGGAGGAUGAAGGUUUUCGGAUUGUAAACUCCUUUUGUUAGAGAAGAUAAUGACGGUAUCUAACGAAUAAGCACCGGCUAACUCCGUGCCAGCAGCCGCGGUCAUACGGAGGGUGCAAGCGUUACUCGGAAUCACUGGGCGUAAAGAGCGCGUAGGCGGGAUAGCAAGUCAGAUGUGAAAUCCUAUGGCUUAACCAUAGAACUGCAUUUGAAACUGUUAUUCUAGAGUAUGGGAGAGGUAGGUGGAAUGCGUGGUGUAGGGGUAAAAUCCGUAGAGAUCAAGAGGAAUACUCAUUGCGAAGGCGACCUGCUAGAACAUAACUGACGCUGAUGCGCGAAAGCGUGGGGAGCAAACAGGAUUAGAUACCCCGGUAGUC
rnacentral:rRNA from 1 species